rnacentral:rRNA from 1 species
AUUGAACGCUGGCGGCAUGCUUUACACAUGCAAGUCGAACGGUAACAGGCCUUCGGGUGCUGACGAGUGGCGAACGGGUGCGUAAUGCAUCGGAACGUACCCAGAGGUGGGGGAUAACGCAGCGAAAGCUGUGCUAAUACCGCAUGUGAUCUGAGGAUGAAAGCGGGGGACCGAGCAGCAAUGUUUGGCCUCGCGCCUUUGGAGCGGCCGAUGUCGGAUUAGCUAGUUGGUGGGGUAAAGGCCUACCAAGGCGACGAUCCGUAGCUGGUCUGAGAGGACGACCAGCCACACUGGGACUGAGACACGGCCAAGACUCCUACGGGAGGCAGCAGUGGGGAAUUUUGGACAAAGGGCGCAAGCCUGAUCCAGCAAUGCCGCGUGCGGGAAGAAGGCCUUCGGGUUGUAAACCGCUUUUGGCAGGAACGAAACGGUGUCCGCUAAUACCGGGCGCUAAUGACGGUACCUGCAGAAUAAGCACCGGCUAACUACGUG